GUAGCUCAGUGGUAGAGCGUCCGAUUUGUAACCUCAAGGUCCUCGGUUCGAUUCCGGGC
rnacentral:tRNA from 1 species